rnacentral:piRNA from 1 species
UCUCUGUAGAGAUUCCUGUAGUACAU